UACGUAGGGGGCGAGCGUUGUCCGGAUUUACUGGGCGUAAAGCGCGUGUAGGUGGCCGCAUAAGUCGGGUGUGAAAGCCCGGGGCUCAACCCCGGGAUGCCGCUCGAGACUGUGCGGCUUGAGGACGGCAGAGGGGCGUGGAAUUCCUGGUGUAGCGGUGAAAUGCGUAGAGAUGUGGAGGAACACCAAUGGCGAAGGCAGCCUCCUGGGCCAACACUGACACUCAUGCACGAAAGCGUGGGGAGCAAACAGGAUUAGAUACCCCAGUAGU
rnacentral:rRNA from 1 species